rnacentral:rRNA from 1 species
UACGGGGGGGGGCAAGCGUUGUUCGGAAUUACUGGGCGUAAAGGGCUCGUAGGCGGCCAACUAAGUCCGACGUGAAAUCCCCAGGCUUAACCUGGGAACUGCAUCCGAUACUGGAUGGCUUGAAUCCGGGAGAGGGAUGCAGAAUUCCAGGUGUAGCGGUGAAAUGCGUAGAUAUCUGGAGGAACACCGGUGGCGAAGGCGGCGUUCUGGACUGCAACUGACACUGAUGAACGAAAGCCAGGGGAGCAAACGGG